rnacentral:lncRNA from 1 species
ACUUGCGCUUUUCUCGGGAACCAACCAAUUCUUUAACUCGCGCUUGCACCUUGGCUUUGUGCUCCAAUCCGUUUCAACAUCAAUCUGAAUCGCGAACUUCGUCGGAGUAAUGGCCGGUUCGUGUUGUCGUGGGCGGCGAUGGAAUCGACGGCGGUUGAUGGUGGUGGUGUGUCGGUUGAGGGAGGAGUAUUUGGUUGUGGUGGUGAUGGUGACGCGAUUUGAAGGUGAGGGUUUGAUGAUGGUUGCUAGCGGCGAAGGUUUUUUUUGUGGUGGCUGAGAGGUGGUUAACGGUGGUUCGUGGCGAGGGUUUUAUGGAGGAGAUAAUGAAGGUGGUGAGACGAUGAGGAAGAUGAAAAUGAAGAUUUAAGCGGCGGCUAGGGUUUUUGAAGUGGAGUGAAGGAUUUGUGAGAGAGAUGUGAGCCGGGUCCUCUCUUCGUCUGAGAGUGAAUAGUGUGAAUUUAUUUUGUUUAUUUUUGUCGUUUAGGUUGGUACCAGAGAGAGGAGAGGUAGUUGGUAGUGGAGUGAGUGGAGCAGGGAAGGAGGUAGUGGUUUUUUUUGAAUUUUGUUACUGAGUAAAAUUUUUUUGUCUUUUAUGUGGAGGGAAUCCAAUGUAGAUAUAUACAUAUAUUUAUUUUCCCUAAUUAUUAUUUAUAACAAAAUCAAUUAACUAAUAUUUAAUUUGAAUUAACUAAUAUUUAAAAAAAAAUUAACUAAUAUCUAUUUUAAACACAUUCUAAUUUCUUUAAUUAAAUAUCUAACUAAAAAAUAUUGACCAAUUAAAAAUAAAAAAAAGUCGAAUGCAAUUUUUGUUCAAAAA